rnacentral:rRNA from 1 species
UGAGUACGAGACGCUAAGGCGUCGAAGUAGUGUAUGUCAUACUUCCAAGAAAAGCUCGCACUGUCAUAGGUAAAAAAUGCCUGUACCAUAACCGACACAGGUGGGUAGGUAGAGUAUACUAAGGGGCGCGAGAUAACUCUCUCUAAGGAACUCGGCAAAAUGACUCCGUAACUUCGGGAGAAGGAGUGCCUUAUUUAUAAGGUUGCAAUAACAAGAUCCAAGCAACUGUUUACCAAAAACACAGGUCUCCGCUAAGUCGUAAGACGAUGUAUGGGGGCUGACGCCUGCCCAGUGCCAGAAGGUUAAAGAAGUUGGUUAGCAUUAGCGAAGCUGAUAACUGAAGCCCUGGUGAACGGCGGCCGUAACAAUAACGGUCCUAAGGUAGCGAAAUUCCUUGUCGGGUAAGUUCCGACCCGCACGAAAGGCGUAAUGAUUUGGAUACUGUCUCGGAGAGAGGCUCGGUGAAAUAGACUUGUCUGUGAAGAUGCGGACUACCUGCACCUGGACAGAAAGACCCUAUGAAGCUUUACUGUAACUUGAAAUUGAAAUUGGACUUUAGUCGCGCAGUAUAGGUGGGAGGCGUUGAGCAUAUUCUUGCGGGAAUAUAGGAGCCAUCAGUGAGAUACCACUCUUCUAAUGUUAGAUUUCUAACCUUGUACCAUUAUCUGGUCAAGGAACAGUUUCAGGCGGGCAGUUUGACUGGGGCGGUCGCCUCCCAAACGGUAACGGAGGCGUACAAAGGUUUCCUCUGAACGGAUAGAAAUCGUAUCUAGAGUAUAAAGGCAUAAGGAAGCUUGACUGUGAGACCUACAAGUCGAGCAGGGACGAAAGUCGGUCUUAGUGAUCUGACGGUACUGAGUGGAAAGGCCGUCACUCAACGGAUAAAAGUUACUCUAAGGAUAACAGGCUGAUCUCCCCCAAGAGUUCACAUCGACGGGGAGGUUUGGCACCUCGAUGUCGGCUCAUCGCAUCCUGGGGCGGUAGUACGUCCCAAGGGUUGGGCUGUUCGCCCAUGAAAGCGGUACGCGAGCUGGGUUCAGAACGUCGUGAGACAGUUCGGUCCAUAUCCGGUGUAGGCGUUAGAAUAUUGAGAGGAGCCUUCUUUAGUACGAGAGGACCGAGAAGGACAUACCUCUGGUGUACCAGUUAUCGUGCCAACGGUAAACGCUGGGUAGCUAUGUAUGGAGUGGAUAACCGCUGAAAGCAUCUAAGUGGGAAGCCCACCUCAAGAUGAGUAUUCUCAC